UAAGAAACAUGGCCGACUCGGGAUGUUGAUAUUUUUUCAAGGGCUUAUUUCCUGAAGUUUUGAAUGGAAAGUGUCAGAAAUAGUAAGAAUACUGCUUUUUUAUUGCCCAGCAGUGCCAGGGCAAUGUUUCAUAGAGUGGAAUGAUUGACCUCAACACAAGUAUUAAAAAAAAAGAAGCAAAACAGGUCUACAUCUCAAAACCUGAUCUCUUCCUGGACUGGCUUUAGGAGAACGAUGAUGCAUAUCAAUUUCAUCCCUGAUCUCUAUGACACCUGUGGUGGAAGUGGAGGGCAAAUCGUAAUCAGUUUGGGACCUCUGUAAACUUUGCUUUUUGGUGAUGACUUAAUUUCCGAGCUUGAAAAGGACGCUUGUGUGUUUAUCAUGGCCUCUCAUAUUGGAAGAUAACAUUAAUGGCUUGUGUGUUGAUCGACGGUUGUGCAUAUCUCUUGGUCAGGAAAGUUGUAGGCACCAUCGCCAUUGUAAAUCAUUUGACAGGCUCGAGUGAACGGGGCGACCUAUGAUUGGUCAGCAAUGUAUCAGAUUCCAUACCGGGGGGUGGGGAUGAAAAAACUGUUGUAGUGUUACAUAAUCAGAUUAUUUCAACUUACUUAUCCUGUGGAAAUACAGCUAUAUAGGAGAUAUUUUGAAAUUCAUAGGCACUGCAUGUUUCAACAUUUUAGAUUUGACCACAAUUUGGCACUUAAAACUAUGUUAACAGAGAAAAACUGUGUGGUUUUCGAUGAAAGUGUUAAAAGUCUAAUAUUGCAUCAUGAUUACUGUUUUAAAGUAUUUUCGUGUUUGAUUUAUAUUGAAUUCAUCUCAUCUUUUUGAAGAAUGCAUUUAUGUUCAAAAAUAAAAAUGUUCUGUGGAAUUCAAAAUUCAUGUGCUUUUAAAUUAUCAGAUUCCAAACUGGGGGGUAGGGAUGAAAAAGCUGUUGUAGUGUUACAUAAUCAGAUUAUUUCAACUUACUUAUCCUAUGGAAAUACAGCUAUAUAGGAGAUAUUUUAAAAUUGAUAGGCACUGCAUGUUUCAACAUUU